AUACGUAGGGGGCGAGCGUUGUCCGGAAUGACUGGGCGUAAAGGGCGUGUAGGCGGCGGUGUAAGUCUGGAGUGAAAGUCCCGCAUUCAAUGUGGGAAUUGCUUUGGAUACUGCAGUGCUAGAGUGCGGAAGAGGUAAGUGGAAUUCCCAGUGUAGCGGUGAAAUGCGUAGAGAUUGGGAGGAACACCAGUGGCGAAGGCGACUUACUGGGCCGUAACUGACGCUCAUGUGCGAAAGCUAGGGUAGCGAACGGGAUUAGAUACCCCGGUAGUCCUAGCCGUAAACGAUGGAUACUAGGUGUGGGUGUCGCAGGGCAUCCGUGCCGCAGCUAACGCGUUAAGUAUCCCGCCUGGGGACUACGGUCGCAAGACUGAAACUCAAAUGAAUUGGCGGGG
rnacentral:rRNA from 1 species